UGCCAGCAGCCGCGGUAAUACGGAAGGUGCAAGCGUUGUUCGGAUUGACUGGGCGUAAAGAGCACGUAGGCGGGCUCGUAAGUCGAAUGUGAAAGCCCCGGGCUUAACCUGGGAAUUGCAUUCGAAACUACGAGCCUUGAAUACCUGAGGGGUUGUCGGAAUUCCAGGUGUAGGAGUGAAAUCCGUAGAUAUCUGGAGGAAUACCAGAGGCGAAGGCGGACAACUGGCAGUGUAUUGACGCUGAGGUGCGAAAGCGUGGGUAGCAAACGGGAUUAGAUA
rnacentral:rRNA from 1 species